rnacentral:rRNA from 1 species
CACGUAGGGUGCGAGCGUUGUCCGGAAUUAUUGGGCGUAAAGAGCUCGUAGGCGGUGUGUCACGUCGGCCGUGAAAACCUGCAGCUUAACUGUGGGCGUGCGGUCGAUACGGGGCAUCACUGGAGUUCGGCAGGGGAGACUGGAAUUCCUGGUGUAGCGGUGAAAUGCGCAGAUAUCAGGAGGAACACCGGUGGCGAAGGCGGGUCUCUGGGGCCGAUACUGACGCUGGAGGAGCGAAAAGCGUGGGGAGCAAAACAGG